UUCCGUAGGUGAACCUGCGGAGGGAUCAUUACCGAGUUUACAACUCCCAAACCCUUAUGUGAACCUACCUAUCGUUGCUUCGGCGGACUCGCCCCAGCCGGACGCGGACUGGACCAGCGGCCGCCGGGGACCAUCAAACUCUUGUAUUAUCAGCAUCUUCUGAAUACGCCGCAAGGCAAACAAAUAAAUUAAACUUUCAACAACGGAUCUCUUGGCUCUGGCAUCGAUGAAGAACGCAGCGAAAUGCGAUAAGUAAUGUGAAUUGCAGAAUCCAGUGAAUCAUCGAAUCUUUGAACGCAUAUUGCGCCCGCCAGCAUUCUGGCGGGCAUGCUUGUUCGAGCGUCAUUUCAACCCUCGACCUCCCUUUGGGGAAGUCGGCGUUGGGGCCGGCAGCACACCGCCGGCCCUGAGAUGGAGUGGCGGCCCGUCCGCGGCGACCUCUGCGUAGUAAACCAACUCGCACCGGAACCCCGACGUGGCCACGCCGUAAAACACCCAACUUCUGAACGUUGACCUCGAAUCAGGUAGAGCUACCCGCUGAAUUAAGCAUAUCAAUAAGCGGAGGA
rnacentral:rRNA from 1 species